rnacentral:rRNA from 1 species
AGAGUUUGAUCCUGGCUCAGGACGAACGCUGGCGGCGUGCUUAACACAUGCAAGUCGAACGGAAAGGCCCUUCGGGGUACUCGAGUGGCGAACGGGUGAGUAACACGUGGGUGAUCUGCCCUGCACUUUGGGAUAAGCCUGGGAAACUGGGUCUAAUACCGAAUAUGACCAUGCGCCUCCUGGUGUGUGGUGGAAAGCUUUUGCGGUGUGGGAUGGGCCCGCGGCCUAUCAGCUUGUUGGUGGGGUAAUGGCCCACCAAGGCGACGACGGGUAGCCGGCCUGAGAGGGUGACCGGCCACACUGGGACUGAGAUACGGCCCAGACUCCUACGGGAGGCAGCAGUGGGGAAUAUUGCACAAUGGGCGCAAGCCUGAUGCAGCGACGCCGCGUGAGGGAUGACGGCCUUCGGGUUGUAAACCUCUUUCAGCACAGACGAAGCGCAAGUGACGGUAUGUGCAGAAGAAGGACCGGCCAACUACGUGCCAGCAGCCGCGGUAAUACGUAGGGUCCGAGCGUUGUCCGGAAUUACUGGGCGUAAAGAGCUCGUAGGUGGUUUGUCGCGUUGUUCGUGAAAACUCACAGCUUAACUGUGGGCGUGCGGGCGAUACGGGCAGACUUGAGUACUGCAGGGGAGACUGGAAUUCCUGGUGUAGCGGUGGAAUGCGCAGAUAUCAGGAGGAACACCGGUGGCGAAGGCGGGUCUCUGGGCAGUAACUGACGCUGAGGAGCGAAAGCGUGGGGAGCGAACAGGAUUAGAUACCCUGGUAGUCC